UAAUAUAUUAUUAACAAGAUUUUGGCUAAAUUAAUUAGAUUAUUAUAAAUAAUAAUAAUAAUUUACAAAUAAAACAACACAAUUUGCAACAAAGCAAUGCAUGAAACACCAUAUUAACAUAUAGUACAGUAAAUUAAUGCUAGAACCUAAUCUAUACUAUAUUAUAAAGCAUUUCAUAAGGAUACCAACCAAAUUUAAGUAAUUACAAUCUUUUAUACUUAUGGUACAACAACUUAAUGAUGUUAGUAAGGGGUGAAAUGGUCUUUCUACAUUAAUAUUAAAAAAUAAAAAAAUAAUUAUCUAUAUCUAUAUCUAUCUAUCUAUACUAUAUUAUAAAGCAUUUCAUAAGGAUACCAACCAAAUUUAAGUAAUUACAAUCUUUUAUACUUAUGGUACAACAACUUAUUGAUGUUAGUAAGGGGUGAAAUGGUCUUUCUACAUUAAUAUUAAAAAAUAAAAAAAUAAUUAAAUGAGAAUAUAAUCACAAUCUAUAUAUAAUCUAAAAUUUAGUUACAUAUUCUAUUUUAAAACCAACAUUUAUGAAGUUUUAAAUGCAAUACUUAAAAUAAUAUUGAUUAAAAUAAAUACGUAGAAAUUUAGUUAAUAAAAUUAAUAUUAUAAUUCUAACAAAUUAGGCUUAAAAUAAAAUUAAAGAUAAACGUAACUGAAUUAAUGGAAUUAAAGAAUAGAAUUAAAGGAAUUUUAAGAACAACUCUUCAUCUCCUUCCAUUAACUCUAAAUUAAUGGAAUUAAAGGAGAAAUUAGAAUUAUAAACAUAACUAAUAUCAUGAGUUUUUGUUAAGUAAAUAUUAAAAAAAACGUAUAUGAAUUUACACAAAAAUACAUACAUGAAUCCUUGCAUAAUUUAAGAGUUUUCAGUUACAUAGUCUUUUAAUUGGCAUUUGAUAGAAUGGUAAUAUUGACCUCCACAUUCAUUGCGCAUGUGUUUAUACCGUAAAUUAUUGUUCUAUUUUAAAAUCAAUAUUUAUGAAGUUUUAAAUGCAAUACUUAAAAUAAUAUUAAUUAAAAUAAUACUAUAUCUAUCUAUAUACCUUUAUUAAGAGAACUGGGUUUUCUACCCUUUUAGUAAUUUUGCUAUACGUACACAUCUUCAAGCAACAUGUACAAAAGAGUCAAGCCAUUUUAAAGGGGGUAAAGUUGCCAAUUGUUUAGAAAUUUAAGACACUUUAGGGGUAUUUUAGUGAUUUUGGCACAUCAUUAAUUGAUUUUUUUUCAUGAAUAUUAUUAAUGUAAUCUUCUAGAACACAAACUGUCCAAAUUCUAAACCGACUUUGAUAGUUAUUGAGGAUUUAUGAUGAAAAUUAGAUGUUCAAGCUAUUAAACGGUUCUUAUACAAUCGUUCAAUUGUCUCCGCAAGCCACAACACCCACCCACUGUGGCUCCACGAAUACAAACCGAUUGUCACCGUUGCCGCCGCUGUCACCACCGUCCAACCAGACUCACAAUCGCCUCUGUUCCCGGCGUCACAGGCUACCGACGCCAUGAAAUUAUUCUAUUUAUACAUUUUGCGUAGGAUGUUAGAAACAGUACCAACACGUGUCAUCCAUCGCUCAUACUGCAUCCAUAUUUAGGCCAUCGACACCACUCCUCCACUUAAUACCACUAAUCACCAGCGCUCUGCCGGCAGCCACACCGCUACUCCACACGCGCUGGCUCAAACCAACGUUGCCUCACCCUCGAUCUUCCCCAAAUCGAAGUCGGCGAGAUUAGGGCUCCACAACCCAAGCGACAGUUUCGUCAGAGAUUAGGGCUCCAACAGUUUGCAGAGUAAUGCUGAUUUGUUGUUUGGAGGAAUUACAAUUGUGGGGGUAGUAGCCAUGUGAAUUUAUCCUAGAUCGCAUGAAAUCCAUUAUCCCUAAUGCUUUUAAGGAAACAGGUAAGCUGCCUUGGGAAGUAUAGUGUGAGGGUGUAGAGCCAGAGUAAUAGCCGAUCAUCACUCGAUUCGCAAGUUUAGAUGAACUUAAACGGGAAUUGCCAAGACAAGCUGACACGAUUGAUAGGUUCAUGAAAAUUCAGGAUAGAUGCUGAUUAAGAGUUACUUUAAUUGGGUUUUCUAUUAUUGUUGCACGACGGAGGGUUUUGUUUUAUCAACGGAUUUGACCCGAUAAACAAAACAAUCUGAUAAAAGACUAAAGAUAAUCAGAUUGACCAGCAGAUCUUGAAGGGGUAACUGCCACUUUUGUUGGGUUGUUGAUUAAUCACCGCAUCCAAAUAACUAUAAGGCAAAAUUUUCACUGCAAGUAAGUUAUAUAAAAAUCCACCAUAGUUGCUUAAUAUUGAACGUUUCCUAUAAUAUUCCCAUAUGCAACUUAAACAUUGAUCGUUUGUUGUAUCUUGGCUCGAGCUUAAUAUUUUGUUACUAAUAUAGUAUACUGAAAGUAUGCUGAAAUGUUUUCCCAUGACCGUGAGGCGUAUGAGGUUGCCUGUGAGCAUGUACACUCAUGUUGUGUUCUUCUAGCAAAAGUGGAUUAAGUUUAAGAUUAAUGGCCAAUGGCACACAUGGAUAGACUAUGGAAAUUUAUGACUUGAUUUGUAUUUUUUAUCUUUUCUUUUAUAAGUUAGUAAUCUUUGUAUUUUUAUAUUUAUCUAAUUUUAUUUUUUAGAUAUUAAACCAGGUGGCUUGGGAAAAGCCUUGUGCCUAGGAAAAAAUGGUUUCUUUGUGCCUGGUAAAAUAUGGUUUGCUAUUUUGAGACAAGAGUGUAAUGAUUGUAUCUAUAUAAUGCUGCAAUUGUUGUCGAUGUCAUAGAGGAAAGCCCUCAACUGAAAUUGUGAGAAAAUUCAGAAUUAUUAAGCACAUGUGAUAGAUUUUACCCCAUCACAUGCUCUCUUUGAUAAAAUCAAUUGUCCUACAGAAGAUGAGGUUAGAUGAUAUUAUUUUUUUUGUGGAAAUAAAAGAUACUCUGCCACAACUGCAAGAAUGUCCUGCUAGAUGGGGAUGGUUGUAAGCCCUUUGGUUCUUCCACACCUCCAUCGAUCCCAGCUAAAGACAAGGGGGUGCUACCUAUACCGACACCAGUUAAGCGCGUUGAAGCGAUCGUAAGCCUGCUUAUGCAGAUUCGGAUUCAGAAGAAACAGUUGACAGUGACCCACAUGAAAGUCAGUUGGCUGGUGAUGGGAUUGGGGAUGGCGUUAUCCAAUAAGAUAGGAAGGCGUGCGAGAGUUUAUCCGUUUUCCCUUUUUCUGUUUCAUGUUUUUUUCCCUUGGAAGACAUCUUUUUUCACUUCUUUUUGGCCAGCAAGUUUUGCCAAGGAAACAACUUAUGGCCCAUGGUUUAAUAAACUUUAAUCACUCCCCUUUGUAGGCAUAUUGUCUUACAUGUUAUGCACCGGCCAUGUCAGACAUCUUACCACGAACAAACAAUAGCUAUUAUGCAUACCGUGCAUCGCACGGGCUUUUUCCCUAGUUUUAAUAAAAGUAUA